GAUGAACGCUAGCGGCAGGCUUAAUACAUGCAAGUCGUGGGGCAGCAGGUCCCGCAGCAAUGCGGGAUGCUGGCGACCGGCAAACGGGUGCGGAACACGUACACAACCUUCCUUUAAGUGGGGCAUAGCCUAAGGAAACUUGGAUUAAUACCCCGUAACAUAUUGAAAAGGCAUCUUUUUAAUAUUAUAGCAGCAAUGCGCUUGAAGACGGGUGUGCGUCGAUUAGGUAGUUGGCGGGUAACGGCCCACCAAGCCUUCGAUCAGUAACUGGUGUGAGAGCACGACCAGUCACACGGGCACUGAGACACGGGCCCGACUCCUACGGGAGGCAGCAGUAAGGAAUAUUGGUCAAUGGACGCAAGUCUGAACCAGCCAUGCCGCGUGGAGGAUGAAGGUCCUCU
rnacentral:rRNA from 1 species